GACCUGGUGGUGAAGUGCAUCACACCCACUUCUCACGCUGUCCCAUGUACACCCAUUGUGGGUGGGAGUCCCUGGUUCGAUUCCAGGCCAGGUUC